rnacentral:rRNA from 1 species
UACGGAGGGUGCAAACGUUGCUCGGAAUCAUUGGGCGUAAAGCGCACGUAGGUGGCCUGUUAAGUCGGGUGUGAAAUCCCUGGGCUCAACCCAGGAAGUGCACUCGAAACUGGCGGGCUUGAGUACUGAAGAGGGUCGCGGAAUUCCCGGUGUAGAGGUGAAAUUCGUAGAUAUCGGGAGGAACACCAGUGGCGAAGGCGGCGACCUGGGCAGAUACUGACACUGAGGUGCGAAAGCGUGGGGAGCAAACAAG